rnacentral:rRNA from 1 species
GACGAACGCUGGCGGCGUGCUUAACACAUGCAAGUCGAACGGAAAGGCCUCUUUCGGGGGGUACUCGAGUGGCGAACGGGUGAGUAACACGUGAGUAACCUGCCCUUUACUUUGGGAUAACUUCAGGAAACUGGGGCUAAUACCGGAUAGGAGCUCCUGCUGCAUGGUGGGGGUUGGAAAGUUUCGGCGGUUGGGGAUGGACUCGCGGCUUAUCAGCUUGUUGGUGGGGUAGUGGCUUACCAAGGCUUUGACGGGUAGCCGGCCUGGGAGGGUGACCGGCCACAUUGGGACUGAGAUACGGCCCAGACUCCGACGGGAGGCAGCAGGGGGGAAUAUUGCACAAUGGGUGGAAGCCUGAUGCAGCAACGCCGUGUGCGGGAUGACGGCCUUCGGGUUGGAAACCGCUUUCGCUCAUGACGAAGCUUUGUGUGACGGUAGUGGGUAAAGAAGCACCGGCUAACUACGUG